GACACAAGGUAAGUAAAAGUAACAGUUUAGAAUGUAUUUAAAAUAUUUAAUUAAACAUUAUUUCUGCCUCAAGCUUUUAAAUAGUUCUUUGGAAAAAGAGGACAUAUCCAUCAUAGCUGUUUCAUAUUCAUCUCUAAAUAGCUAAAUCAUAUGAUAGCUUUUCAAUUGAAAUCAUUAAACUUUUAUAGUAAUAUGGCAUUUAAAUAUACAUGUGACCUUUCUGGUGUAUGGGUAGAGCGUUACAAAAAUAUAUUGCUUACAUCUCAAGAAUUUAUUUCAAGUUGGCAGAUUGCACUCUAUAAUAAAAUUAACUUUUAAUUUUGCAUUCACAAAAUACAUUUUACACUUUUAGCUGUUUCCAAUCAACUAGAACAGCUGUUCAUUUUAUAAAAUUAAAUGAUUAAUAUUCUUUUUAAUUAUACAUUUUGAGUACAUAUGCCACUCAAGGUCAAUGCAUUUCUGAAUUUUAGAUCUUAAAUGUCAUUGGUAUAAUCGACACAUCAUAUAAACUAAUUAAUCUUGUGGUUAAUUCAAAUUAAUUAAUCUACCAAAAUAUAGGAAAAUGGUUUAGAAACUUCAGAUUUGGCACGUUUUCUGUGUUGAAAAGUGACUUUCACACUUGGACAAACUUUUAAGCAGAUAAGAUUAUAUAUAUAUGAAAAAAAUGUUCUUCAAAUAGAUGUUUGGGGUUUUUUAGCAUGUUAAUAGAGUUAUUUUUUAGUUAAGAGCCAAAUAGAAUCAGAUUUUAACCCACUUUAACCUCUUUGUCCUGACAGACUAGAAUGUCAUUGCAAUAAUCCAACAAAUUUAUGAAGUUAUGUUUCCUAUCUCUUCAUCUAGUAUUAUAGACAUAUAUGAUCAUUGUUUUAAUUAGAUGUCCUUCCUAAAACCAUUGCCAUGUACUUCCUCCAUACUAAAUUAUAGAUAUAAUUCUUAAAAGAAAUAUUUAAUCUGAAAUUAUUUGCAGAGAGAUUGCAUUAAGUUUUAAAGUAACUACAGCUUAACUGUUUCAGUUUGUAAAUUCUCACCUGUGUCUGAUACUAGUCUUGAAUACUGAAGAAAGAGGGAAUUUAGAAUGCUGAUGUCUUAAAAUUCUUGGACAAAGGUAACAUUUUACUGUUCAGUGAUAUUCAGGGAUUUUAGCAGACCACUCAAAAGUUCAAAAAUAGGGUAAAUUUGUAUCUCUGUGCAAUUACUUGCACAAUUACCAAGGCACUUUAAAAAGAGCCUUGUAACAUUUAAUAGAUUUUGUCAGCUUAUCCCCUUUCUGAGUGCUGAGGAACAAAAGUAUAAUGCCAAGUUAUUGCCAGAUCUUAUGGUCUGCUAUAGAAUCUUUUUUUCUUUUUCUUAGUUUCUCCAAUUAUUUUACACUUUUUAUGAGAUUCUUGUGAAUCCUCUGGUGAAGAUGUGUGUCUGCUGCUGUGGCACAGAAUGGAGUCAACUUAAAAGGGUCUUAGAUUUUUCUACAAAACUAUUUUUACAAAUACUUACCAAAUAGGCUCCCUAAGUCUUCAAGAAUACUGAACCUGAAAGCAAAGCUUUCCUCUGACUGAUUGUCUAGCAAGUAUCUUCAAUAACUUUGCAUUUAAACAGCAUCCAGGCCACCAAGGACCUGGAAGUGUUUGGCUAUCAGCAAGGCUCACAAUUGUCAGAGUAAAAAAGUUGUAUCAGCAAAAGAGCUGUCUUGUCUGUCCUGCUGCAUCUACAGUGUAGUCUUCUGCCAGUGUAGAUGUCUCAGCUAAGGGUUAGGGUUUUUUUAUCCCCCAUGAUUGUCACAAUUGUACCUGCAGCAGCAUGUGGUCGAAGCCUGGUUUACCUUGUCCUAAGUUAUUAGGAAAUCACUUUGAACUCGACUGCAGUAACCAAUACUUCAGCUGAAAAGGUUCACAAAAAGAUGGGGUCAGCUCUGAAGAUCUGCCCAGGGAUACAUGGCAUGUUAGUCAACACAGCUGAUUCAGGUAGGUUUCUGUGGCCAGUAGCAACAGAACAGUGCAGUUUGAAUCACAUCUUGGCACCUUCAGUUCUUGGGCCUCAGUGAUUAGGUUUUUAUUAACACCUCUCCACCAAGUUGCAGAUUUUUCUAAAUUCUUAGGAGGGCUUCAGUUCAUGCCUCUGGGGUCAGAGUAUUUUACUCACUCCACUGUAAUGCUCUAUGGAAAGACCUAACAGUGGCCCAGCUACAUCUGCUUAAAAUCACUUCAGUGCCUUUGGGGGCAUGUGUGUGUGUGUAAGCCCUUAAGGAAGCUGCAGGACUGCACAUGCCCUGGGAGCCAACCAGAUAAUCAUUAGAGAGUCCCAGAAUGCAGGAAGAGCCCCUGCUACGCAUGCCUUCCUUUGGCAAGCAGGAACAGAGGGGCUUGAAAUGGUUUUCUCAGAGGAAAUGGUAAACAUAAUGGAGAUGCAUAACUAUCAUAAGCCAGACCAAAGAUCUGUUUAACCUAGGAGCCUGUUUUCCAGUAACAGAUGCUUAAGGAAAGUGGAUUAAAACCAAGGCAUAUAUAAAACAGAUAUUCCCCUUGGCAUGGCCUCAGCUUCUGGGGAACAGUGCCUCAGAAACUUCCUGAGCUGGAAUCACAUUUUGUUUGUUGUGUUUAAUAGUCACAGAUAGGCCGAGCCAUCACAGAUCUGUCUCAUCCGUUUAUGUCUGGAUUUACACUUUGUGGGUCCGCAACAUAUUCUGAUAGCUGUUUGUAAGGGAUUAUAUCCCCUCUGAAAAGAAAGACAUGAUGACUUUAUAACCAUCUCAUUUUA